rnacentral:rRNA from 1 species
CCUACGGGUGGCAGCAGUGAGGAAUAUUGGUCAAUGGGCGGAAGCCUGAACCAGCCAAGUAGCGUGCAGGAUGACGGCCCUACGGGUUGUAAACUGCUUUUAUACGGGAAUAACGCGCCUUACGUGUAGGGCUUUGCAUGUACCGUAUGAAUAAGGACCGGCUAAUUCCGUGCCAGCAGCCGCGGUAAUACGGAAGGUCCGGGCGUUAUCCGGCUUUAUUGGGUUUAAAGGGAGCGUAGGCCGGAUGUCAAGUGGUCUGUUAAAUGUUCGGGCUCAACCCCGGCCCUGCAGGGGGAACUGGCGUGCGUGAGUGCGCGGGAAGCAGGCGGAAUUCGUGGUGUAGCGGUGAAAUGCUUAGAUAUGACGAAGAACUCCGAUUGCGAAGGCAGCUUGCUGGAGCGGAACUGACGCUGAUGCACGAAAGCGCGGGUAUCGAACAGGAUUAGAUACCCGUGUAGUC